CUCGGCGUGAAUUUCUUGGGAGGGCAGGAAGCAAGAACUGGGCUUCCCCGGGACUGAGGAAGGUUCACCAGCCCGGCAGAAGCCACGACAGGAGAUAAAGGAGUCUCCCUGGAGAGGCACGACCAGAGAAUUCCCCCUCGGACCGCAAUCCUGGGCUCAGCUGCCAUUGGCUAGACGAGGGCCAGACGUUCCGGGCGGUCACCGAACGGCACCUUGGCUUACAGCUGAAGAACUCUAGCCAUACCAAACCGGACUAGAAAACAGACUUUAAUUUUACACGUACGAAUGUCAGCUCAGGUUUACAGCAGGUAAGAAAAAUAUAUACAAACUGCAGCUUAAAAAAGGAAAAGGAAGAAA